rnacentral:rRNA from 1 species
UAGUCCACGCCGUAAACGAUGUGUGCUAGUUGUCGGGCCCAUAGGAUUCGGUGACGCAGUUAACGCACUAAGCACACCGCCUGGGGAGUACGGUCGCAAGAUUAAAACUCAAAGGAAUUGACGGGGACCCGCACAAGCGGUGGAGCAUGUUGUUUAAUUCGACGCAACGCGAAGAACCUUACCUACACUUGACAUACUCGUCGGGACUUUCAGAGAUGAUUGUCUUCGGUUCGGCCGGACGAUGUACAGGUGCUGCACGGCUGUCGUCAGCUCGUGUCGUGAGAUGUUUGGUUAAGUCCCGCAACGAGCGCAACCCUUGCCUUUAGUUGCCAUCAUUAAGUUGGGCACUCUAGAGGGACUGCCGGUGUUAAGCCGGAGGAAGGCGGGGAUGACGUCAAGUCCUCAUGGCCCUUACGGCCAGGGCUACACACGUACUACAAUGGCAGAAACAAACCGUUGCGAAGCCGCGAGGUGGAGCUAAUCGGUAAAACACUGUCCUAGUCCGGAUUGCAGUCUGCAACUCG